AUGAUUCCCUUAGUAACGGCGAGUGAACAGGGAAAAGC
rnacentral:rRNA from 1 species